rnacentral:rRNA from 1 species
CCCUUAGAUGUUCUGGGCUGCACGCGUGUUACAAUCGGGAGUACAACAAGAUUGCAAAUCCUAGUGGAUGAGUGGUUCUUCGAAAUUUUCUGAAGCCUGGGAUAGUUGAUUGAAAUUAUUCAACUCAAACGAGGAAUUCCUUGUAAUUGUAAUUCAUUAUAUUGUAAUGAAUACGUCCCUGCCCUUUGUACACACCGCCCGUCGCUCCUACCGAUUGAACGAUCCGGUGAAUUAUUUGGAGUAGCUCUGGAAGUUGCAGAACUUCCUAUGUCACGAAAUUUUGUAAACCUUAUCGUUUAGAGGAAGGAAAAGUCGUAACA